rnacentral:rRNA from 1 species
AUUGAACGCUGGCGGCAGGCCUAACACAUGCAAGUCGAACAGUAACAGGAAGAAGCUUGCUUCUUUGCUGACGAGUGGCGGACGGGUGAGGAAUGUCUGGGAAACUGCCUGAUGGAGGGGGAUAACUACUGGAAACGGUAGCUAAUACCGCAUAACGUCGCAAGACCAAAGAGGGGGACCUUCGGGCCUCUUGCCAUCGGAUGUGCCCAGAUGGGAUUAGCUAGUAGGGGGGGUAACGGCUCACCUAGGCGACGAUCCCUAGCUGGUCUGAGAGGAUGAACAGCCACACUGGAACUGAGACACGGUCCAGACUCCUACGGGAGGCAGCAGUGGGGAAUAUUGCACAAUGGGCGCAAGCCUGAUGCAGCCAUGCCGCGUGUAUGAAGAAGGCCUUCGGGUUGUAAAGUACUUUCAGCGGGGAGGAAGGGAGUAAAGUUAAUACCUUCGCUCAUUGACGUUACCCGCAGAAGAAGCACCGGCUAACUACGUG